rnacentral:piRNA from 2 species
UGCAUCUUGAUUUUUUUCUGCAGUGGAUAU